AUAAGGAGUCGGACCUGCCCAGUGAAUUAUUUUAAACGGCCGCGGUACUCUGACCGUGCAAAGGUAGCAUAAUCAUUUGCCCUAUAAUUGAGGGCUAGUAUGAAUGGUUUGACAAGAAUAAAGCUGUCUCCGUACAAUUAUAUAGAAUUUUAUUUUUAGGUGAAGAAGCCUAAAUAGUAUUAAAAGACAAGAAGACCCUAUCGAGCUUUAAAGAAAUUAAUAAGGUAAAAGACAUAACUGUUAAAACAAUGUUUAUUAAAGAUUUUGGUUGGGGCGACUGAGGAACAAAUAAAGCUUCCUUUAAAAUUAGAUAACAUACAGGUUUUGAUCCAAAAAUUUUGAUCAACGAAAUUAGUUACCGUAGGGAUAACAGCAUUAUCUUUUUUGAGAGCUCAUAUCGAAAAAAAGGUUUGUGACCUCGAUGUUGGACCAGAAUAUCCUGAAGAUGCAGAAGUCUUUAAGGGUUGGUCUGUUCGACCAUUAAAAUUCU
rnacentral:rRNA from 1 species